AGCAGCCUCUUGGUCUCUCACAGGACAGAAGACACAUUGCCUAUGGCAAUACCACAAGGCCUAUAUUACCGGAAUAGAAACCUCCUCCUUCCUGCAGUGUCCCUUCAAAGCCCAGAGGAUGAUGGUAACCAACUGAGCACAUGGUGUUCCAGCAGACGCCAGACAGCAAAUUGUUGGACCAGAUAACCCUGAGAUCUCAGCUCACGAUUAAUUACUCUCAGAUGCAAACAACUGCUUCUUGGGCCUGCGGAAAGGACACGCGGACAAGAAGCCCUGUCUUCUUGCUCAAAGAAGAAAUACCAACAAGGUGCUAGGAGACACAGAAGACAUGCCUGGGAAGCUGGGUCAUACUGCACCCCCAUUUCCAGGAAAACAGACGCCCCUUACCAUUCUUGCGGGUUAGCUCAGCACGCCUUUCCAGCAUGCGAGAUCCCUGCAGAUGUUUCAAAGGAUUCUCCAUGUACCCUAUAACAUUUCCGGGAACAUUUAUACGCUCUUUCCCCUGCAACACGGCAUUAAACCUGAGGGGACUAAAAGUCACGGGAUCUGUCCAAGUGCAGGAAAGUGUUCGGAAAGCUUUAGACAUUUGUUCCGUACUGAAAAAUGGAACAGCAAAUUAGAAGGUGAUAUGCAACUGUCCCCUCAGGCUUCCCUCCUGGCAACAGUGCAG
ensembl:antisense Gm15402 predicted gene 15402